AUGGCUCCACUGUUCCACGUGGAGGCUCUGCUCCCGAGCUCGAUCUCACCCAAGAUCGACUCCAUCCUCCACUCCCACAUCUACCGGCAGGUAGGUCACGUCUUCCGCGCCGUCGCCAGGUUCAGGGCCCUGCUCGUCGACGUGAUACUCAGCAAGAAGAGGACUGCCGCCGCGAGAGCCGGCGGUGGCGGGUACGGCCACUACGGUCGCUCGACGACGAAGUCGGCGAAGAGGAGCGGCGGCAAGAAGCAGACGAGCAAGAUCGUCGGCUUCGUGAAGAUGCACUUCGUCGGCACCUCCUUCCCGCCAGCUCGAGCGAGGGAUCGGUUGGACGCCAGCCGCGCGCCCUGCUAUUCGUCAUACUACGACUACGAGUACGCGGCGGAGUGGAACGCUGUGGUUCCGGCGACGGCGGCGGCCGUGGAGGAGGAGGUGGUGGAGGUGUGCGACGACACGGCGGAGUGCGGGUACCUGUGUUGGCUGGAGGAGGAGAGGUCGUCGGGUGGCGUGCCGGCGGGCGAGGACGACGGCGCCGAGGCUAGUCCGGCGGUGAACGAGAUCGACAGGCUGGCGGAGAAGUUCAUCGCGAGGUUCCACGCGAAGUUCUUGCUGGAGAAGCAGGAGUCGUACCGGAGGUACCAGGAGAUGAUCGCCAGGAGCAUAUGA
rnacentral:rRNA from 1 species